CUUUAUUAUAAAUAACUAUAAAUGAAAAGGAAACAAAUACAACCAAAUAUAAAGAACUUGAAUUAAAUAAUAAUUAAAUAAACUGUUUUUUCGUAAACAUUGUUUAUUCUGUAAAUUGAAGGUUUUCAUAUCGGCAAACGUAAACGUUUAUACAGAUUUUUGAUCAGCCAACUGAUAAAUUGGUCAGACGCCUUCGAAGACUGUCGGAAAGUUGGAAAUCCAAUUAUUGAUUUUAUUUUAUUUUAUAUUUUCUGUCGAGAUAACGGUUGAAGUUUGGUUUUGUCGGCAGGUUUUUGAGUUUGUUUAACUCGAGGAUCUGACUGUUCAAUAUUUCUGCUCUUUAAAACACAAACCGUCGGGAGCAUUUGUCGCGUCUUCAGUUUGUUUGUUUCCGGCCCCUGAGGCCCCGCCCACUCCUGUCUGGCUCUGCAGCUGUUUCAGCCUCGUCUCGUUUGUGUCAGUGUGAUAACGUGAAACUCUGAUGUUGUUUCUCUGCCGUUCAGGGUCCGGAUGGGAGGAGAGGCUCGCUCGGCGACAAGGUGGGAGAGCAAACAAAACGUCGGCGCUGUGAGUGGUGGUUUCUAUGACGACCGCGAAGCCCUUCUAACUGUGUGUGUGUCCUUCCGAAGGGGGCGCCUGGAAACCCGGGAGAUGCAGGAGUACCAGGCAGCCCCGGUGCUUCUGGUCCACAGGGUCCCCGAGGGGUCAGAGGUCAACCUGGACCCAGAGGAAUCGCCGGUCUGCCCGGACCUCAGGGAGGACCAGGAAGCGCUGGAGCUCCGGGCCCCGCCGGGCGCCGCGGAGCUAACGGACAGAAGGGCCAACCAGGCGACCCGGGGGCGAAGGGUGUUCCAGGAUCACUGGGACCCAGAGGAAUGGCUGGUGAGGAUGGUAGAGACGGUCAUGGACCUGCAGGACCUAAAGGUGGCAAGGUAGAUCAGAUCCUAAUGAUCAAAAUAUUUAAAAAAUGUAAAGGGUAGAUUUUGUUCCACAUGUGAAGAAGCGUCUGGUUUGUGUUGACAGGGAGAUGCUGGUUUCCCUGGUUACCCCGGUCUACAGGUGAGCAUGUGUCACGCUCACAUUGAAUCGUCUGCAGCUUUUCGCUGACGCUGAAAUCAGUGAUGUGUUUACACACGAGCACAUUCCUGUUCACAAGAGUUUUUUAACAAGAUGCUGAGUUUAUCCAGAUUCUGUCAGAGCCCUGAGACAAGAAACUCCUCCAUCAGUCAGGAUCGUCGGGGAAAGUCCUGAGCUGGGAGCGUUUUUCCUUCAGGGAUGACGUUUGUGUUUGUUUCCUCCUCAGGGUGAGGACGGCCUGCAGGGACCCGGAGGAUUUCCAGGCCCUAAAGGGAACCAAGGACGAGGGGUGAGGGGGAUUUGAUCUUGUAUGUUUUCAUUUUUUAAUCUGAUGUGGUUCUGCUUCAUCAUCGACUUUUGUUUCUGGUCUGAUUGAUGCAGGGGAACUCGGGCCUGUCUGGAGAGUCGGGAGUGGGCGGAGAACCGGGAUAUCCAGGACACACAGUGAGUGUCGUCGUCAUCGUCAUCUUCGUCCUUCUGACGACACAGCGUCUUAUCUGUGACUUUUAUUGUGAAGUUAAAGAUAUUUCAGCGUUUAUAUUAAUGGUUUGUUUAGUCGUGAUGACUGGCAGAUCCUCAACAGACUGAAACUGUCAGUUAAACUUCAAUCAUCGCUUAAACAAUAAAAUAAAUUAAAAUCAGGUUUAGUCUUUAAAGUAGAAUUUAUUUGGAAAAAAACAACAAAUCAAACGAUAUUUAGAAUUUCAAUAAAGUGCAAAUGUCAGAGUAAAUAAGAUAUUUUUUAAAAAAUCAAUAAAUGCUAAGAUUUAGUUUACAAACCCUUAAGACAAAGAAAGUUUAUUAUAAAUUACUGUAAAUAUACAUAAAUAACAAAUUCAAGAACUUGAAUUAAGAAAAAAAACUUUUCUGCUUUAUUUAUUCUGUAAAAUAAAAGUUAUAAAAUAAAUAUAUAUAAAAUAUACAUUUUUGUUGCACCUCAGCAACCUGAAGGUGUAAAAACUCCUGUGCUGUGGUUCGUUGUUACAUUAAUUGAUGACGACAACAGAAUGAAGAGAAAAAGGUCAAUAUUACUAAUAAUAUGAAUAAUAAGUAUUUCUCCUCAGGGUUCCAGAGGUCCUCCUGGAGGCAAAGGCAUGACUGUGAGUUCACCUUUCAAUACUAACUGGUGUCGACAGAAAUAUCAAAACCCAGAAAUGAGUGUUUCCACAUGUUUCCUCAGGAGUGUCAGCUGAUCACCUACAUCAGAGACAACUGUGGUAAGUGAAACAAUGUUCUCCAUCUUUCACUUUAUUUAAUUUAUUACCACAAUAAAGUACAACGUAUCUACAGCUAGAAACGCUAUGAGAGAGACGCUCCACCCACACUGUAUAUUGUAUAUUAUAUGUAAUAUUCAACAUGUGUUAAAGCGUGUUCAAUCGCAGGUGAAGGUUAUUGACAAAACGAUGAGGUUAUUAGAAUUGGAGGCUUAUUAGACGGACACAGGCCAGUGAGACUAAGACGUGAUGAGCAGAUUAUUUUUAUUCUGUUCGACUGUAUGUGCCUUUAGCGUGAUUUCCCAUCCGUAAGCAUUAGGCGACAAUUUCUGCCCGUUACCGCGGCGCACCGCUGUGAUUAAGUUCUCAUCAUGUCAAAGAAGAUUGCGAAAAGUGAUUAAACUCGUCAGGUGAAGAGUGAAAACAGAAAUCAAGGUCGCUGGUGCGGGUACCGAGGGCGCUGCAGCGCCUCCCCAGGCAACGGGCUGUAGCUGCACGGCAAAAAAAGUUUAUAAAACUGAGAGGAUCGCGGAUUUCAGUGGUGGUAGUAACUAGUCACAGAAGUUGAAUAUAUUGUCCAUAACUCUGAUAUAAUGAGUUAAAUAUAGUUCCAUGAGGUGGACCGACCUCCGUGUGAGUCUCCAUGUUUCUAACGUCGUGUUGAAUAUGGUUGUUGAACUAAACGCUCCAGAACACGUCGCGUUCACGUUGAAUUUUCAGACGAUGCUGGAAACAGGAAAUGGAAUCAGCGGUGCGCCGCCAUAAAGUGUCCCCUGUCCGGUGCUCAGUUGCUACGGUUUACAACUUUACCACCAGAUGCCGCCAGAAAAUUACAAAAAUUACACACUGGGGCUUGAACUUAUACAAAAUCAUGACUGUUGCUGCAGCGUUUUAAACAAAGUCAUCAUACAGACUUUGUUUCUGCACAACCAACUCUGACUGACCUCAGCGUCUCUGAUAGUUCAAACUCAUCCUUUCCCUAAAUUCCUUUUUAUUUAAAUAUACUGAUCUCAGUUGUUUUCUUCUCUUCCCAGUUUGUUCCAUCGGUACGUACCUUCACUUCUACCAACAGAACAAUGUGGCGACUGCAGAGCACUGAACCUCCUCCGUGUCCUCGGCGUCAGACCUUCGGGACGGACGACCGGGGCGAUUUCCUGUGAUCUAAUUCGAGAAUUGGUUAAAACUGUGGUGACUAGAAUGUGACCCGGUAGAAGUUCAGACCUCCACCGAGGCCCAACAGUCCUUCAACUCAAUCACUCACCAAAUCUCACUCAUAGAAUCAGUCACUAAAUGUGUCACAUGAAAACAAUCAGACUUUACUUUUACUGAACUUACACGAUUUAUCGUUUUGUCCACGUGAAGUCUUCUUUGUUGGUUUUCAGAUCGAUCGGAGUGUCCGGCCUAUCCCACCG
ensembl:lncRNA